ncrna:unclassified sequences GP20-b RNA
UGCCGGUGGAUUAGGCGUAAAACAGUCAGCACAUGAGAGCAACCUCGUAAAAAGCGUA